UACGUAGGGUGCAAGCGUUGUCCGGAAUUAUUGGGCGUAAAGAGCUCGUAGGCGGCUUGUCGCGUCGACUGUGAAAUCCCGCGGCUCAACUGCGGGUCUGCAGUCGAUACGGGCAGGCUAGAGUUCGGUAGGGGAGACUGGAAUUCCUGGUGUAGCGGUGAAAUGCGCAGAUAUCAGGAGGAACACCGGUGGCGAAGGCGGUUCUCUGGGCAUUACCUGACGCUGAGGAGCGAAAGCCAGGGGAGCAAACGGG
rnacentral:rRNA from 1 species